CUUCUUCCCCAUCCCCUCAGUGAAAACCUAGGCCAAUCCCGGCAGCCGCCGCGUCUGGAUCGUCUCUUCCUCUCCACGAGCUGGCGCCGCCAUGGGGAUUUCACCAGACGCAACAACGUUCGUCGCCGGAUUCAGCCGCUAUAGCCAGCCGGCAUGGGAGCUACAUCCCGUAUAGGUCAACAUCUUGCUGGGGAUCUAGAGCUUGGGUGGAUGCGGCUGCUUUCCUCGGUUCAGUGUUCGGUUGUGUUGGUGGCUAUUUGGCCUCAAAGUGGCAAUCACCGCCCUAUAGAAGAGAAUUUCCAGGAGUUUUUGGUUGUUAGGUAUGAGCUCACUCCCUUUCUUCCUUGCUGUUGCACGAGGAAAUGAGUGGCAUGUUUCUACUGAUGCUAUGUUGUUGGCUAUUAGAUUUGUUGUUAUGGAAUUGACAUGCUAUGUCAGUGUCACACAGCUGCAGAAUGAUUGGAGUGGUUCAAAUGUUUUGGAAACUAGAUGUCUUUCUACUACAGAAAAUUAAACUACUAAGGUUAGUUUGGUAAAACAAGAUCUUAUUCCUAAUAUAUAGUCCACAAUUUACAGGGCAGAACUACUUCCGUCCUGGUGUUUUCCAUGGUGUGAUUAUACCAUGUUUUGCCGUCUCGCUGACAACACCACGCUGCUUGGGAUGAUCGUGGCGUCACUAGCUGGAUGAGAUUUAAGCUCAGGACAUGGCGCAGCGCUAAGGCACUCUCCAGUACCACUUUAGAAGUAGGUUCACUCAGCUUCUUUAGAAGUUCACUGUCCAUUUCAUUGCUACAAAAGAUGCAUUGGAUCAUCUGUUCAGUUUAGUAGGACAAGAUUACUGUGAUAGCAAGUUAGGCUCCUUUUAUAUCCGCUCCAAAUUUCCCCUUAGGUAGCUCUUACGAGUAGUAAUCCAUUAUCACUUUUUUUUGUGUUACCUUUUGUUGUACCAUGGCUUGGAGUGGGGAAGAUUAUCUUUUGAAACUUGCAACUGAUUUCUGGGAGAGCUUGGAGAAGUACUCAUUGAUUAAACUGUGUUCCAUUAGAUUCGACUUUUUGAUGAAAUGUUCCUUCUAAUUCAGAAUAGUGCUACCUUUUGUGCCCUACUUUGGUUUUCUAGAUUGGUCCAAAGUUACUAAUCUGUUAACCUAAGAUUUGAAACAUAUUCCUGAAAUAAAAUCAUGAGUUCACUUGCUAGCGGAUGAAGCAGAAGAUAUAUAGAAGAUAUAUAGGUGGGGUAUUGUCACCGACCCCAAGAUGACAACAGGUUAAUCCUUGAGGUGAUUAGGAAAGUAAUAGCGAUUAUGGAGGAGAUGCGGUCGAUGCGGAGCUUCAUACUAAUUUCCAUUAGGUUGCAUUCUUCUUUUCUUCCAAAUUUAUUGACCUGUUCUGCAUCUUCAACUUAUGUCAAGUUUACCAAUGACGCUUCUAGGCAUGAGUUUUGGACGAUUUUCUUAUUAUGCUUUUGACAGACUUUACCAUAUUGUCUUCAUUCU